UGAACGCUGGCGGCGUGCCUACUACAUGCAAGUCGCGCGCACAGACGCGGAGCUUGCUCCUCUGACGUUAGCGGCGGACGGGUGAGUAACACGUGGAUAACCUACCUAUAAGACUGGGAUAACUUCGGGAAACCGGAGCUAAUACCGGAUAAUAUAUUGAACCGCAUGGUUCAAUAGUGAAAGACGGUUUUGCUGUCACUUAUAGAUGGAUCCGCGCCGCAUUAGCUAGUUGGUAAGGUAACGGCUUACCAAGGCGACGAUGCGUAGCCGACCUGAGAGGGUGAUCGGCCACACUGGAACUGAGACACGGUCCAGACUCCUACGGGAGGCAGCAGUAGGGAAUCUUCCGCAAUGGGCGAAAGCCUGACGGAGCAACGCCGCGUGAGUGAUGAAGGUCUUCGGAUCGUAAAACUCUGUUAUUAGGGAAGAACAAAUGUGUAAGUAACUAUGCACGUCUUGACGGUACCUAAUCAGAAAGCCACGGCUAACUACGUG
rnacentral:rRNA from 1 species